rnacentral:lncRNA from 1 species
CUCUGGAUUUCUGCUGAAGGAUGCUUUCCUCUAUUACUGACCACCUUUCCUGCUCUUCAAGUAAUGUUUUCUCCUCUAAUGCAACUGCAUCAUUAUAGCCUCUACUCAGUAUCUCUUGGGAAUCCUGAAGCUUGUUUAUGAUAUGCUCUAUUUUAGAUGUAACUCCUUUGAACUCAUUGUUAUUAAGUUGCUUCAAUUCAGACCUGAGAACCUUCAGCUUACACCAGAUAUCUUUCAUGGUAUCUGAAUGCAGUUGUGUCUGCCAGACUUCAUCAACCACUGAUAAGAAGUAUUCAUGAUCAGUCCAAAUAUUAAAGAACUUAAAUGGAAUCUUACCACUGGAUUCAGCUCUCCUAAGAGUGAUCAUCAUGGGAGCAUGAUCUGAGAUAAAAGGAAAAUUUUAAUCCACCUCCAUAUGUCCAAAUGUGAAAUCCAUUCAUCAUUUCCAAUAGCUCUAUCAAUCCUGCUAAAAACUCCAUCUCCACUUUGUUGCUUAUUAGACCAGGUAUGGUAAUCCCCCUUCCAAGGUAAUUCACAUAAGUUCAAACAUUGCAUGCAGUUUGUAAAGUCUUGAAUUUGAUUACUAGUUAUUGGAUUCCCAUAUAAUCUAUCGUGUAUAUUUAGGACUAAACUAAAAUCUCCCUAAAUAAGCCAAGGCUUGCUGAUCUGUGUAGCAAGUUUUUGCAGUUGCACACAGAGAGGCUUUCUCAGCUCAAUUGUAUUAAACCUAUAAAUGACUGUCAUGGCACAGUUCAGUUGAUUCAACCUUCCUCUAACAUCACAAUGCAUAACUUGAGCAGACUGGUCUAUUACUGAAACAUCAUAGGAGGAAGGAUUCCAUAGUAUCCAGACCCUUCCAUUAGCAGCAUGAUCAUAUUUAAACCUUUCUUGCCAACCUGGCAUUACCCUAUUAGCAAUGCCAUCAUCCUUAUAUUUUUUAACUCUAGUUUCUACUAAAUCAACUAAUUUGAUAUUAUUCUCUUUGAUAUAGGUACCCAACUCUUUUGCUUAUAACAUUUGUUGGUACCUCUAAUGUUCCAAACCAACCAAGACAUCAGGUAGAUUUGGAUGUACCACAUGUAGAUGGUACUGACAAAUUAGCCAUCACUGCUACAUUUGUCUGUUGGCUUGAUCUUUGCUUACCAGGUGACAUAACUAUUUAUGCAUAUUUCAGGGGUAUGCCAUUUAUUUCUGUUACUUUCUUCCCUUUAUCAUGAUUUUUUUGCUGGCCUUCUUCAAGAAUUGGUUCUGCUUCUCUACUCACAUCAUCACAUGUAUUAAGCCCUUGUUGAUUCAACAUCAUUGUCUUCCCCUGAAUAACAUUGUGUGUAGGAGCUAACACAACUCCUGUAGUCUUCCAUACUUGCUUCACAGGCUAUGGCCUACUUCUUUAGGCUGUUGAACUUGAUUUACCUCCUCUUUGCAAGCCUUUGUGCAGUCAUGACUAAUUUUUAAGCACUUUAUUUCCAUGAAAUCUGUCAUAAAUAAACUCUAUGAACUUCCCCACUAAUGCCCCGCAUGGCGCAUUGGAGAAGGUGUUUUCGUAUGGGCCCGACCCUACUUUGUAUAAAUACAUAUAAAAAUGUGAUUUUAUGGACUUUUGACACAUCUUAGACCUAAGUAAGCCAAGGAGGAGGUGGAGAAGCAAAAACUCAAGGAUUUCAUCAUUCGAUCCUCAAUCAAGACAAGGGUUUGGAUUGUUUUAUGCUUUCCUUUAACUUAAACAUUGUUACUCCUUAUCCAUGGAGUAGUUCUCUUUAGGGUUUGAUGGAUUUGGUGUCUUGAUACUUGUUUGUGGAUAAUUAACUCUAGUUCUUAUGUAUUGAAUCGUUGUGGAUGUUUUAACUGUUGCAUCUAUAUUCAUUUGUUUUGUAAUCGAGACAGGCAUAACUUGUGACAU